GGGAGGCUGUCCCUACUACGAGAGGACCGGGACGGACGAACCUCUGGUAUGUCAGUUGUACCGCCAGGUGCAUGGCUGAUUAGCUACGUUCGGGACGGAUAACCGCUGAAAGCAUCUAAGCGGGAAGCCGGCCCAAAGAUGAGUCAUCCCUGACCUUUAAGGUCUGGAAGGGUUGUUAUAGACGAUGACGUUGAUAGGCAGGGUGUGGAAGCGUUGUAAGGCGUUAAGCUAACCUGUACUAAUUGCCCGAGAGGCUUAACC
rnacentral:rRNA from 1 species